GUGGAUGUAGCUCAGUUGGCAGAGCGUCAGGUUGUGGCCCUGAAUGUCGCGGGUUCGAGUCCCGUCAUCCACCCCA
rnacentral:tRNA from 1 species